rnacentral:ncRNA from 1 species
ACGCAGGACUUAAGCAAAAUUUGAGUGCUCCAGGAGAAAUCCAGGAAGUAGAACUUCUCAAAUUCGGGGAAACCUUCAUCACAAAAAAUUGUGAUAUGGCAAUCCCGAGCCAAGCUCUAAAAGAAAUUUUAGUGAAGGUGUAGAGACUAAAAGGGAAGUACCUAAAUUCUGAUUUAUCAGAAUAUGGUAAAGAGAUAGUCCAGACUACAAAUUUCGGC